AUCAGCUGAUCUCUCUGACAGAAGAAGCCAGCGAGGAGACUCAGGAAAUACCCCAGGAAUACUAAAACAAAGAAAAAAAACAAUAUAAUAAAAGGUAAUGCGGUUUACAAAAUCUUGGAGGGACACUGCACCCUGAAGAAACAUUUAUUGCCCUGAGGCUGCUAUUCCCUGGCCACGGAACACACAGACUCACCCAUAGGUGAGGAACAGAGAGAGCGGUACAGCCCCAGCUCCAAGUA